AGUGAACGCUGGCGGUAGGCCUAACACAUGCAAGUCGAACGGCAGCACAGUAAGAGCUUGCUCUUACGGGUGGCGAGUGGCGGACGGGUGAGGAAUACAUCGGAAUCUACUUUUUCGUGGGGGAUAACGUAGGGAAACUUACGCUAAUACCGCAUACGACCUACGGGUGAAAGCAGGGGAUCUUCGGACCUUGCGCGAUUGAAUGAGCCGAUGUCGGAUUAGCUAGUUGGCGGGGUAAAGGCCCACCAAGGCGACGAUCCGUAGCUGGUCUGAGAGGAUGAUGAGCUACACGGGAAUGGAGAAACGGUGGCGACGCCUAGGAGAGGCAGCAGUGGGGAAGAUUGGGCAAUGGGCGGAAGAGUGAUCCAGUGAUAUCGCGAGAGUGAAGAAGGCCUUCGGGUUGUAAAGGCCUUUUGUUGAGAAAGAAAAGCAGCAGGUGAAUACCCCGCUGUUCUGAAGGUACCAAAAGAAUAAGCACAGGCUAACUUAGUG
rnacentral:rRNA from 1 species